rnacentral:rRNA from 1 species
UACGAAGGGGGCUAGCGUUGCUCGGAAUUACUGGGCGUAAAGGGCGCGUAGGCGGAUGUCUUAGUCAGAGGUGAAAGCCCAGGGCUUAACCUUGGAACUGCCUUUGAUACUGGACAUCUUGAGUACGGGAGAGGUGAGUGGAACUCCGAGUGUAGAGGUGAAAUUCGUAGAUAUUCGGAAGAACACCAGUGGCGAAGGCGACUCACUGGCCCGUUACUGACGCUGAGGCGCGAAAGCGUGGGGAGCAAACAGG